rnacentral:rRNA from 1 species
UGGGGAAUAUUGGACAAUGGGGGGAACCCUGAUCCAGCAAUACCGCGUGUGUGAAGAAGGCCUUCGGGUUGUAAAGCACUUUGGGCGGGGAAGAAGUUAUGCUGUUUAAGAGAUGGUGUAAUUGACGGUACCCGCAGAACAAGCACCGGCUAACUCUGUGCCAGCAGCCGCGGUAAUACAGAGGGUGCGAGCGUUAAUCGGAAUUACUGGGCGUAAAGGGCGCGUAGGCGGUUGGAGAAGUGAGAUGUGAAAUCCCUGGGCUUAACCUGGGAACUGCAUCUUAAACUGACUGGCUGGAGUACUGUAGAGGACAGUGGAAUUUCCGGUGUAGCGGUGAAAUGCGUAGAGAUCGGAAGGAACAUCAGUGGCGAAGGCGACUGUCUGGACAGAUACUGACGCUGAGGCGCGAAAGCGUGGGGAGCAAACAGG